CGCUCCGGUGGCUUAGUGGUUAGAGCGUCCGCUUCAUAUACGCGAUGUCGUGGAUCCGAACCCCGGCUGAGUUA